GACGAACUCUGGCGGCGUGCUUAACACAUGCAAGUCGAACGGAAAGGCCCUGCUUUUGUGGGGUGCUCGAGUGGCGAACGGGUGAGUAACACGUGAGUAACCUGCCCUUGACUUUGGGAUAACUUCAGGAAACUGGGGCUAAUACCGGAUAGGAGCUCCUGCUGCAUGGUGGGGGUUGGAAAGUUUCGGCGGUUGGGGAUGGACUCGCGGCUUAUCAGCUUGUUGGUGGGGUAGUGGCUUACCAAGGCUUUGACGGGUAGCCGGCCUGAGAGGGUGACCGGCCACAUUGGGACUGAGAUACGGCCCAGACUCCUACGGGAGGCAGCAGUGGGGAAUAUUGCACAAUGGGCGGAAGCCUGAUGCAGCAACGCCGCGUGCGGGAUGACGGCCUUCGGGUUGUAAACCGCUUUCGCCUGUGACGAAGCGUGAGUGACGGUAAUGGGUAAAGAAGCACCGGCUAACUACGUGCCAGCAGCCGCGGUGAUACGUAGGGUGCGAGCGUUGUCCGGAUUUAUUGGGCGUAAAGGGCUCGUAGGUGGUUGAUCGCGUCGGAAGUGUAAUCUUGGGGCUUAACCCUGAGCGUGCUUUCGAUACGGGUUGACUUGAGGAAGGUAGGGGAGAAUGGAAUUCCUGGUGGAGCGGUGGAAUGCGCAGAUAUCAGGAGGAACACCAGUGGCGAAGGCGGUUCUCUGGGCCUUUCCUGACGCUGAGGAGCGAAAGCGUGGGGAGCGAACAGGCUUAGAUACCCUGGUAGUCCACGCUGUAAACGGUGGGUACUAGGUGUGGGGUCCAUUCCACGGGUUCCGUGCCGUAGCUAACGCUUUAAGUACCCCGCCUGGGGAGUACGGCCGCAAGGCUAAAACUCAAAGGAAUUGACGGGGCCCCGCACAAGCGGCGGAGCAUGCGGAUUAAUUCGAUGCAACGCGUAGAACCUUACCUGGGUUUGACAUGGAUCGGGAGUGCUCAGAGAUGGGUGUGCCUCUUUUGGGGUCGGUUCACAGGUGGUGCAUGGCUGUCGUCAGCUCGUGUCGUGAGAUGUUGGGUUAAGUCCCGCAGCGAGCGCAACCCUUGUUCACUGUUGCCAGCACGUUAUGGUGGGGACUCAGUGGAGACCGCCGGGGUCAACUCGGAGGAAGGUGGGGAUGACGUCAAGUCAUCAUGCCCCUUAUGUCCAGGGCUUCACGCAUGCUACAAUGGCUGGUACAGAGAGUGGCGAGCCUGUGAGGGUGAGCGAAUCUCGGAAAGUCGGUCUCAGUUCGGAUUGGGGUCUGCAACUCGACCUCAUGAAGUCGGAGUCGCUAGUAAUCGCAGAUCAGCAACGCUGCGGUGAAUACGUUCCCGGG
rnacentral:rRNA from 1 species